GUGCUUGCUCCAACGAGCUGCAAACAUCAUCAAGAUUGGUGUGAUAAAUUUAUGAACCUAGGACUAGUCUGAUAAUCUUAUCCAUCGCAACUGUCAAUCUUGCUUUUAUAUCUGGUGCGUCCGAGAGAAGUUCGCUUUUAAUUGGAAUUAUUUCAACCAACUUGCAGAAAAGGGAGGCGUCAAUCACAAGCCGCCUCCUCCAACGACAGUUUUAUCAGUAAAUCAGAAUAUCACUUCAAUCCAUGGGAGGAAGAUUUGUAAGGAGCCUGCAGGGCACGCAACGGGUUUCUAGCAGCUCAUACUUGACAUUGAGAUAUUUAGACACUCAAUUGGCACUAACUAGUAGCACAUCGCAUCACUGAUGUAGUCACGGUGCACCACCUUCGCUGAUGUCAUUGGACUCAUGUGUCACGUGUGGCUUGCAAAGAGUAUGAACACUUCCAACUAAAUUGAAAGGAGUGCAUCCAGGACCUUGUCAAACACCAUUAAAGAUCCACAAGGAAGAUGGAGCACAGCGAUCAGUACCAUUGGUAGGAUGACCCACUUGCACACAUUUUGCGCAGUCGAUGCAGCAUUUUGGACACAAUGCUGCAAUGGCGAUUGUGUUCGUGUUAGCCUUAUCUGCUGGGAACAUGUAUCCUGAUGGUUUUGUCUGUUGGAGAUUGCAGAGCCCGGCACAACAGAUAACCUGUGAGAGGAGUGCUGGUGGGCCAGAUCAUAUGAUCCAACAUGCUUGUGAGACUUGGCAACUACCAGAGCGUUUCUGUUCCUCCAUCACAGAGGUGCACGGCACAAUGCGUAAUUCAGAUGUUGCUUUGUAACGUAUUGAAACUAUUGACUCUGGAUGUUAGUCAAUUACUCCUCAUCCACCAAGCUUGGGUGGAUGAGAACGUUUAGGACAGCUAAGAUCUUUGAAGUAUGUAUCCACCCAUUGUUUAACAGUUACUUGUUCCUUCGAAUACUGAUUCUGUUUUACUGAAUCAAAUUGCGGGUGGCAGUGGCAGGGAU
rnacentral:lncRNA from 1 species